CCUACGGGAGGCAGCAGUGAGGAAUAUUGGUCAAUGGACGCAAGUCUGAACCAGCCAUGCCGCGUGCAGGAUGACGGCUCUAUGAGUUGUAAACUGCUUUUGUACGAGGGUAAACCCCGAUACGUGUAUCGGGUUGAAAGUAUCGUACGAAUAAGGAUCGGCUAACUCCGUGCCAGCAGCCGCGGUAAUACGGAGGAUCCGAGCGUUAUCCGGAUUGAUUGGGUUUAACGGGUGCGUAGGCUGUGAGGUAAGUCAGCGGUGAAAUGCCUCCGCUCAACGGGGUGAAGUGCCAUUGAUACUGCCUUGCUGGAAUGCGGAUGCGGUGGGAGGAAUGUGUGGGGUAGCGGUGAAAUGCAUAUAUAUCACACAGAACACCGAUUGCGAAGGCAUCUCACGAAUCCGCGAUUGACGCUGAUGCACGAAAGCGUGGGUAUCAAACAGGAUUAGAUACCCUAGUAGUC
rnacentral:rRNA from 1 species